rnacentral:rRNA from 1 species
UACAGAGGAGCCAAGCGUUGUCCGGAUUGACUGGGCGUAAAGCGCACGCAGGCGGUGCUGCGCGUGGGGUGUGAAAUCUGGCCGCUUAACGGCCAGGCGCCAUCCCAUACGGCGCGUCUGGAGUGAUGCAGAGGUCGGUGGAAUUGCCGGUGUAGUGGUGAAAUGCGUAGAGAUCGGCAGGAACACCCAGGGGGAAACCAGCCGACUGGGCAUCUACUGACGCUGAGGUGCGAGAGCGUGGGGAGCGAACCGG